rnacentral:rRNA from 1 species
UACGGAGGGUGCAAGCGUUAUCCGGAUUCACUGGGUUUAACGGGUGCGUAGGUGGGUCUGUAAGUCAGUGGUGAAAUCUCCAAGCUUAACUUGGAAACUGCCGUUGAUACUAUAGAUCUUGAAUUUUCUGGAGGUAAGCGGAAUAUGUCAUGUAGCGGUGAAAUGCUUAGAUAUGACAUAGAACACCAACUGCGAAGGCAGCUUACUACGGGAACAUUGACACUGAGGCACGAAAGCGUGGGGAUCAAACAGG